CCUACGGGGGGCAGCAGUGGGGGAUAUUGCACAAUGGGCGAAAGCCUGAUGCAGCAACGCCGCGUGAAGGAAGACGGUUUUCGGAUUGUAAACUUCUAUCAGCAGGGAAGAAAAUGACGGUACCUGACUAAGAAGCCCCGGCUAACUACGUGCCAGCAGCCGCGGUAACACGUAGGGGGCAAGCGUUGUUCGGAAUCAUUGGGCGUAAAGGGCGUGCAGGCGGUGUUGCAAGUCUGGCGUGAAAGAUCUCGGCUUAACCGAGGGAACGCGCUGGAAACUGUAACACUAGAGUACAGGAGGGGACAUUGGAAUUCCAGGUGUAGGGGUGAAAUGCGUAGAUAUCGGGAAGAACACCAGUGGCGAAGGCGGCUUACUGGCCAGCAACUGACGCUGAGGCGCGAAAGCCAGGGGAGCGAACGGGAUUAGAUACCCCAGUAGUC
rnacentral:rRNA from 1 species